UACGUAGGGUGCAAGCGUUGUCCGGAAUUAUUGGGCGUAAAGAGCUCGUAGGCGGUGUGUCGCGUCUGCUGUGAAAACUCAGGGCUCAACCCUGGGAGGCGGGUGGAUACUACGGAACUGGAGUACGGAAGAGGAGAUUGGAAUUCCUGGUGUAGCGGUGAAAUGCGCAGAUAUCAGGAGGAACACCAACAGCGAAGGCAGAUCUCUGGGACGUUACUGACGCUGAGACGCGAAAGCGUGGGGAGCAAACAGG
rnacentral:rRNA from 1 species